GACGAACGCUGGCGGCGUGCCUAAUACAUGCAAGUAGAACGCUGAAGGAGGAGCUUGCUUCUCCGGAUGAGUUGCGAACGGGUGAGUAACGCGUAGGUGACCUGCCUGGUAGCGGGGGAUAACUAUUGGAAACGAUAGCUAAUACCGCAUAACAGUAGAUAUUGCAUGAUAUCUGCUUGAAAGGUGCAAUUGCAUCACUACCAGAUGGACCUGCGUUGUAUUAGCUAGUUGGUGAGGUAACGGCUCACCAAGGCGACGAUACAUAGCCGACCUGAGAGGGUGAUCGGCCACACUGGGACUGAGACACGGCCCAGACUCCUACGGGAGGCAGCAGUAGGGAAUCUUCGGCAAUGGACGGAAGUCUGACCGAGCAACGCCGCGUGAGUGAAGAAGGUUUUCGGAUCGUAAAGCUCUGUUGUAAGAGAAGAACGAGUGUGAGAGUGGAAAGUCAC
rnacentral:rRNA from 1 species